GAUGCUUCUUAGAUGGUGCCAGAAACCCUAUAGUGGACAGUUAUGAGGUGUCUUACCCAUAGGCUAGUCUCCAUCUUUGUUUAUGUCAUAACCCUAAUCAGUAGCUAGAUGUUUGAAUUGUCCAUAUAAAUAUUUAAUCUUCUGUUUAUUUCUCUGCAUAGCUCUGUUUUCCCCCUCCCACCAGCAGACUAGGGAUCAUCAUGGCCAAGAACUCGGGGUCCACCAGAAGUCAGACCCAGAGUACAGAAGUCUGUGCAGAUUGCCCUGGACACAUGCUGAUCCCUGGAGCGUUAUCAGAUGUGGGACUCAGACCCUUAUGGGGAAGGCAGGAAGUCAAAGCCCACUCUGUAUUGAGACAAAUGGAGGAAUCUCUGUAAAGAAUUCUCUUAGGAACUUUUUCCUCCAGAUUCCCACUCCUACUAGUUAUUUACUACAGGGAACGAUUUGGGCAGUGGUGUUCACUUUCAUGCGUCAGUACAGGAAUUAAUUAGGGCACAAUCUAACUUAGCAGUGGGAACUGGUCUUUAUUAGGAUCACAGAUCAGGUGUGGAGUCAGAGAGAAGCAGAGCUGGAAGGAACCUCAGCUGGUCAUCUAGUGGAUCUCCUCAAGGCAGGAUCAUCCCUGACCCAACCAGCCCACUCAAGGAUUUAUAUAGCCUGCUCUUAAAAACUUCCAAGGAUAGAUAUUUCACAGCUUCUCUAGCAUGGAUCAGAAAGCAUUGUACUAUAGCUGAAACUUUCCUUAAGAAAAAGAGAGACAUCCUUCAAAGAAAAAAAAACAAGUGAAAAACACUAUGUAGCACUUAAGGCAAGAAUGAGCAGCAAGGUGAUACCUUGAAUUGGAGAAGUGAUUCAAGGACACCUUGAGGCCAGCCUGAAGAAAUGCAGUAUUAGUAUCAAUAGCUGGGUCCUGAGAGUCAAGCACUGAAUCAUCCCCAGUAGUGCCAUGAUGUACAACAAAGCACUGAUCAUUUUUAGCAAACUUACCCUUCUAUGGGGGCAGAUAGAUGAGAGAGACAAAGGGAAAAAGCUGUGA